AAGGGUCAGAGUCAACGGAUCAGUCAAAGGGUCGGAGUUAAAGGGUCAAAGUGAAAGGGUCAGAGUCAAAGGGUCAAGGUCAAAGGGACAGUCAAAGGGUCAAAGGUUCAGAGUCAACGGGUCAGAGUCCAAGGAUCAGGUCAAAGAUUCAGAUACCAUGGGUCAGAGUCAAAGGGUCAGAGUCAAAGGGUCAAACGGUCACAGUCAAAGGGUCACAGUCAAAGUCUCAGAGUCAAAGGGUCAA